AGCGAAGCACCUUGACGGAUUCUUCGGAUUGAAGCCUUGGUGACUGAGCGGCGGACGGGUGAGUAACGCGUGGGUAACCUGCCUCAUACAGGGGGAUAACAGUUGGAAACGGCUGCUAAUACCGCAUAAGCGCACAGUACCGCAUGGUACGGUGUGAAAAACUCCGGUGGUAUGAGAUGGACCCGCGUCUGAUUAGGUAGUUGGUGGGGUAACGGCCUACCAAGCCGACGAUCAGUAGCCGACCUGAGAGGGUGACCGGCCACAUUGGGACUGAGACACGGCCCAAACUCCUACGGGAGGCAGCAGUGGGGAAUAUUGCACAAUGGGGGAAACCCUGAUGCAGCGACGCCGCGUGAGCGAUGAAGUAUUUCGGUAUGUAAAGCUCUAUCAGCAGGGAAGAAAAUGACGGUACCUGACUAAGAAGCCCCGGCUAACUACGUGCCAGCAGCCGCGGUAAUACGUAGGGGGCAAGCGUUAUCCGGAUUUACUGGGUGUAAAGGGAGCGUAGACGGCAUGGCAAGCCAGAUGUGAAAGCCCGGGGCUCAACCCCGGGACUGCAUUUGGAACUGUCAGGCUAGAGUGUCGGAGAGGAAAGCGGAAUUCCUAGUGUAGCAGUGAAAUGCGUAGAUAUUAGGAGGAACACCAGUGGCGAAGGCGGCU
rnacentral:rRNA from 1 species